GUAGGGUGCGAGCGUUAAUCGGAAUUACUGGGCGUAAAGCGUGCGCAGGCGGUCUUGUAAGUCAGAUGUGAAAUCCCCGGGCUUAACCUGGGAACUGCGUUUGAAACUACAAGGCUAGAGUGUAGCAGAGGGGGGUGGAAUUCCACGUGUAGCAGUGAAAUGCGUAGAGAUGUGGAGGAACACCGAUGGCGAAGGCAGCCCCCUGGGUUAACACUGACGCUCAGGCACGAAAGCGUGGGGAGCAAACAGGAUUAGAUACCCUGGUAGUCCACGCCCUAAACGAUGUCAACUAGUUGUCGGGUCUUAACGGACUUGGUAACGCAGCUAACGCGUGAAGUUGACCGCCUGGGGAGUACGGUCGCAAGAUUA
rnacentral:rRNA from 1 species